rnacentral:lncRNA from 1 species
GAACAAGGGGAAGGCCUCCGGCGCUGAGGAUUCUGGGGAACGUAGUUCGCUCACUGGGCUGCGCACGCGCACUGGCUGCCUAGCGGCCUGGCUCAGGCGGCCGGGUGCCAUUGCUGGACGCGUUCCCGCCGUGCACUGCGAAGCCCUUCAGUUUUCCUGAGUUUCGCAGCCAGAUAUGUCUUUGUGGGACUCUACUUUUUCCAGAAAGGGGAGCACAGAGGAAGAGAUUAUGACUGCUGUGGUUUUUUCAGUUGUCCCUCUGAGUCCUGAACUUACCCAGGGAGGUGAAGACCUUCAGUGUCAAGCCGAAGAACCUGAAUUGGUAAAGGUAGUACCUAGCAUGUAUGUAAGGGGAAACAAAGAGAUAGAGCCU